rnacentral:tRNA from 1 species
UGGCCUAUAGUAUAAUGGUAGUACAACUGAUUUUGGUUCAGUUUGUCUAGGUUCGAAUCCUGGUAGGCCAA